UGGGGAAUCUUGGACAAUGGGGGCAACCCUGAUCCAGCCAUGCCGCGUGAGUGAUGAAGGCCUUAGGGUCGUAAAGCUCUUUCGCCUGUGAAGAUAAUGACGGUAGCAGGUAAAGAAACCCCGGCUAACUCCGUGCCAGCAGCCGCGGUAAUACGGAGGGGGUUAGCGUUGUUCGGAAUUACUGGGCGUAAAGCGCACGUAGGCGGACCAGAAAGUUGGGGGUGAAAUCCCGGGGGCUCAACCCCGGAACUGCCUCCAAAACUAUCGGUCUAGAGUUCGAGAGAGGUGAGUGGAAUUCCGAGUGUAGAGGUGAAAUUCGUAGAUAUUUGGAGGAACACCAGUGGCGAAGGCGGCUCACUGGCUCGAUACUGACGCUGAGGUGCGAAAGUGUGGGGAGCAAACAGGAUUAGAUACCCUGGUAGUCCACACCGUAAACGAUGGGUGCUAGGUGUUGGGUAGCUUGCUAUUCAGUGCCGAAGCUAACGCAUUAAGCACUCCGCCUGGGGAGUACGGCCGCAGGUUAAAACUCAAAUGAAUUG
rnacentral:rRNA from 1 species